GCCAGGCCUCUAGUCCCAGCUACUUGGGAGGCUGAGACAGGAGGAUCUCUUGGGCCCAGGAGUUCUAAGCACUAUGCUGAUGGGGUGUCUGCACUAAGCUCGGCAUGAUGACCUCCUCCAAGCAGGGGACCACCAGGUUGCCUAAGGAGGGAUGAACUGCCCCAGGUCAGAAACAGAGCUGAUCAGUAGUGGGAUCACACCUGUGAACAGCCACUGCUCUCCAGCAUGGGCAGCACAGCAAGACCCUGUCU
rnacentral:SRP_RNA from 10 species